rnacentral:rRNA from 1 species
GGUGAGUAAUGUAUCGGAACGUACCUUUCAGUGGGGGAUAACGUAGCGAAAGUUACGCUAAUACCGCAUAUUCUGUGAGCAGGAAAGCAGGGGAUCGCAAGACCUUGCGCUGAUUGAGCGGCCGAUAUCAGAUUAGCUAGUUGGUGAGGUAAAGGCUCACCAAGGCGACGAUCUGUAGCGGGUCUGAGAGGAUGAUCCGCCACACUGGAACUGAGACACGGUCCAGACUCCUACGGGAGGCAGCAGUGGGGAAUUUUGGACAAUGGGGGCAACCCUGAUCCAGCCAUGCCGCGUGAGUGAAGAAGGCCUUCGGGUUGUAAAGCUCUUUCGGCCGGGAAGAAAUCGUAUGGGUUAAUACCCUGUGCGGAUGACGGUACCGGCAUAAGAAGCACCGGCUAACUACGUGCCAGCAGCCGCGGUAAUACGUAGGGUGCGAGCGUUAAUCGGAAUUACUGGGCGUAAAGCGUGCGCAGGCGGUUUUGUAAGACAGGCGUGAAAUCCCCGGGCUCAACCUGGGAACUGCGCUUGUGACUGCAAGGCUAGAGUAUGGCAGAGGGGGGUGGAAUUCCACGUGUAGCAGUGAAAUGCGUAGAGAUGUGGAGGAACACCAAUGGCGAAGGCAGCCCCCUGGGCCAAUACUGACGCUCAUGCACGAAAGCGUGGGUAGCAAACAGGAUUAGAUACCCUGGUAGUCCACGCCCUAAACGAUGUCAACUAGGUGUUGGGUGGGUAAAACCAUUUAGUACCGGAGCUAACGCGUGAAGUUGACCGCCUGGGGAGUACGGCCGCAAGGUUAAAACUCAAAGGAAUUGACGGGGACCCGCACAAGCGGUGGAUGAUGUGGAUUAAUUCGAUGCAACGCGAAAAACCUUACCUACCCUUGACAUGUCCAGGAGCCUGAAGAGAUUUGGGUGUGCCCGAAAGGGAACUGGAACACAGGUGCUGCAUGGCUGUCGUCAGCUCGUGUCGUGAGAUGUUGGGUUAAGUCCCGCAACGAGCGCAACCCUUGUCGUUAAUUGCCAUCAUUUAGUUGGGCACUUUAACGAGACUGCCGGUGACAAACCGGAGGAAGGUGGGGAUGACGUCAAGUCCUCAUGGCCCUUAUGGGUAGGGCUUCACACGUCAUACAAUGGUCGGUACAAAGGGUUGCCAACCCGCGAGGGGGAGCCAAUCCCAGAAAGCCGAUCGUAGUCCGGAUUGCAGGCUGCAACUCGCCUGCAUGAAGUCGGAAUCGCUAGUAAUCGUGGAUCAGCAUGUCACGGUGAAUACGUUCCCGGGUUUUGUACACACCGCCCGUCACACCAUGGGAGCGGGUUCUGCCAGAAGUAGUCAGCCUAACCGCAAGGAGGGCGAUUACCACGGCAGGGUUCG